rnacentral:rRNA from 1 species
GACAGAGGUGGCGAGCGUUGUUCGGAUUCAUUGGGUGUAAAGGGUCCGUAGGUGGUCUAGUAAGUCUGAUGUGAAAUCCCAUGGCUCAACCGUGGAACUGCAUUGGAAACUGCUGGACUUGAGUACCGCAGAGGUAAAGGGAAUUCCCGGUGUAAGGGUGAAAUCUGUAGAUAUCGGGAGGAACACCAGUGGCGAAGGCGCUUUACUGGGCGGUUACUGACACUGAGGGACGAAAGCAAGGGGAGCAAACAGG